UGCUCUUCAAAUCUUGCAUAACAAUGCAGUUUACAGAGAUUAGCCAAAGAAGCCCUAUGCGCUGAUUGAUGUUGACCUCUUGAGGAUGUAUUAGGGCAUGCAACAGCCCAAUGAUUAAGUUCAAAGCAUCUAAUGCACACACAAGGUAAUUCUUCCAAUCUACUAGAUGACUUCAUAUUCCUUAGAAGAUCUUCAAUCUCAUUAUCUGUUAUCUCUGGACAAUAUUGCAAAUGAUGGCCUUUUCUUCCACAAAAGAAACAGGUAAUAGUUGAAGAAGCUGUACUAUCUGAUACACCAGAAGGCAUGAUGUGUUUGAGGGCAUCUAAUCUCCUAGCAAAAAGAGAAGCCAUUGCCUCUGAAUCUUUUAAUCUAGGGGAUGGUAAAAUGGUGCUCACUUUAUAUUUGGAUUU
rnacentral:lncRNA from 1 species